rnacentral:rRNA from 1 species
GUCCACGCCCUAAACGAUGUCAACUAGUUGUCGGGGAAGCAAUUCCUUGGUAACGCAGCUAACGCGUGAAGUUGACCGCCUGGGGAGUACGGUCGCAAGAUUAAAACUCAAAGGAAUUGACGGGGACCCGCACAAGCGGUGGAUGAUGUGGAUUAAUUCGAUGCAACGCGAAAACCUUACCUACCCUUGACAUGUCCAGAACCCUGAUGAAAGUUAGGGGUGCCCGAAAGGGAAUUGGAACACAGGUGCUGCAUGGCUGUCGU